UACUUCCUACGGGGCGCAGCAGUAGGGAAUCUUCCACAAUGGGCGAAAUCCUGAUGGAGCAACGCCGCGUGGGUGAAGAAGGUCUUCGGAUCGUAAAACCCUGUUGUUAGAGAAGAAAGUGCGGGAGAGUAACUGUUCACGUUUCGAAAGUAUCUAACCAGAAAGCCACGGCUAACUACGUGCCAGCAGCCGCGGUAAUACGUAGGUGGCAAGCGGUAUCCGGAUUUAUUGGUCGUAAAGGGA
rnacentral:rRNA from 1 species